AUCUAUGAUGUGAUUGUCAAAAUCCUCAUUAAUUUGUUCGCAAAUGUCAGUUGUUGCGAAACAACUAUUGCUCGUUAAUGUUCAGUAUUUAAUAGUUUAAUUAAUGGAGCCGAAGAAAGAAUUGUACCUGGCAAAAUGUAUGGACGAGCUGAACAAAAAGCACGGUUUUCCAAAUCUAAAACAAAAGAAAUGUAAAUUUUUAUGUACUACAGCUAAUAAAGCAUAUGAUCAGGCAUAUAAGCACUAUAUACUAGGAGAUGAGGAGCAAGCUUAUACAUUUUUUAUGAAAUAUCUUAAUUUGAUUAAUACAAUUCGUAAUUCGACAGAAUACAACAACAAUAAGGCUGACAUUAAUCGAUUACUUGACGCAAAGCAAGUGCAAUAUGCUUUGAAUUAUGCAGAGGAACUCAGCCAAAGUCUUAAAGAAAGGUAUACUAUUUUAAAAGAACAAGAGGAGUCGAAAAAAAUAUCCGAAUAUAAUAACAAGGAGCCUAUAUCUGAAGAUAUAGAGAAUGAUGUUCAAAGUUUACAUGUACCAAAUAGUUGCAAAGAAGCUGGUUCCAAUAACCCCAAAUUUAUAGCAUGUGCCGAAUUAUAUCAAAUAAUUGCAAAUGCUCAUUCACACUCAUAUUUGAUAAUUGAUACUAGGAAAUCUGAUGAUUAUAAAAAUUCUCAUAUCAUGAGUAAAUAUAUUAUAAAUUUACCAAAAGAAGAAAUUGCACCAGGGAAAUCAGCAAAUCAAUUGGUACUGUGUUUGGGGCCAACAGAAUUAUCUUUGUGGGAUACAAGAAGCACUAAAGAACACAUUAUAUUAAUAGACUUAGAAGGAGAUCCCGGCAAUUUAAGCCAAGCUCUUUGUGAUACACAUGCAGCAUUAGUUCAUUGGGAUCCUCAAGCUAAGUACAAACAUGCUCCUGUAAUUCUUAAAGGCGGUUAUGCUGAAUUUGUUGUUAUGUAUCCAACACUAUGCUUAAAUCCGAAAGAGCAAAUUUCCUCAAGUCCGGAUUUCAAGGACAUUCUCGACACUGAUGUGACUUAUCCAUUUAAUGAUAUGACUAUUACAAAUCUACAGCCAACAAAUUUAAAACCCAGUAUUGAUCGUAAUAGUAAGUCAGCUGCAUUAAAACUUUAUGAAGAACGAAAACGUAAGAAGACAGAUUUGUUAAGGGAGCAUGAGAAAAUUGUGGAUAAUUCUAUUCUUUUGGAAAAGAGUAGGCUUGAUGCAGAAAAUUAUUGGGAGACCUUAAGGAAAUCUCGAGAAAUGGAAGCAGAAGAGGAGAAAAGAUUAGCAAUACAAGAAGAAUUGCAGAUACUGCAACAACAGAUAUUGCAGAUGGAUUCCUUUCAAAGAGACAAGAUAAUGGAAAAUGAAGCUUUACGUAAACAGUUAGAAGAAUACAAACACAAAGAAAUGGAGAGUUUAGAAAAUAAGAUAGAUAAAACCAUAAUUGAUCAAGAGAAUAAUCAAUUUGAGUUAGAUGCAAAACGUAUUGAAAAGAAAGAACGUGAACGACAAAAAUUGGAGCAACAACGUGAAAAUUUAGCUAAAGAGAGGCAAAGGAAGCUUGAUGAGGCUAAGGCUAUGAAACAAGAAUCUCUAAGGAAAUAUGCGGAAACAUCAUCUACAAGCCUGAGUGAUGAACCAGCUACUAAUGCAAAAAUGAAGAGAUCGUUAUCUACACCUAAUGUGGCACAGAUGGAUCUAGAUACCAAAGUCAUAAACAACAUUCCACAAUAUGAUAGAGCUGUAAAACCGAGCAUUCAUCAGUAUGACACUAGCGUUAAAAGGGAUGUUGAAAUAGGAGUGGCUAAAGGCUUAUGCGGGUUAAAAAAUCUUGGCAACACUUGCUAUAUGAACAGUAUAAUUCAAUGUUUGAGUAAUACAAAUUACUUAGUUCGUUACUUUUGUGAUGGUAGCUAUAGGGAACACUUAAACAGAAGUAAUGAAACUAAAGGUAGAAUUGCUGAAGAAGUAGCUACAGUUAUCACAUCUUUAUGGUCUGGACACUAUAGAGCUGUGGCUAUUCGAGAGUUUAAGAACACUAUAGGACAAUACAACAAGUUAUUUCGAGGCUGUGGCCAACAAGAUUCCCAUGAAUUUUUAAUGAUUUUGAUAGAUUUAUUACAUUUUGAUUUGCAAACCUGUAGACCAAAGUCUAGUUUGGAUAAUCUAUCGCCAUCAGAAAAGGCAUGGAAAGAAUAUGUUAAAGAUCGAGAAAGUAUUAUACUUAAGCUAUUUUAUGGUCAAAUUAGAUCCACUGUUACCUGCAUGGUUUGUGCUAAAGAAAGUGUAACAUUUGAUACAUUUUCAAACUUGAGUUUGGAGUUGCCACCUACUAAUAAUAGGUGUUCACUGUCUGACUGUUUGAGCCUAUAUUUAAAUGGCGAAAGAAUAAGUGGAUGGAAAUGUCCAGAAUGUAAGGCUAAGCGUGAAGCCGUUAAAAAGUUAGAUAUAUCCAGAUUACCGAUGAUUUUAGUGAUACAUUUUAAAAGAUUUUAUGCAGAUAGUUUUUCAACUAAUGUUUAUCAUAAAAAGCAAACUUAUAUAGAUUUUCCAUUAUUUGAUCUACAUGUUGCAACUCAAGAACCUUCUCGUAGAUAUGCUAAAUAUAAUCUUUAUGCUGUCUCAAAUCAUUAUGGUUCAAUGGAAAGUGGUCAUUACACUGCUUACUGCAAAUCUAAAGUGUAUGACAAAUGGUAUAAAUUUGAUGACCAAAUUGUAUCUCAAAUAGAUCAAAAUGAUGUGAAUUCAAGUGCGGCUUACAUAUUAUUUUACAUUGAUGAGAAACAAGCAGGGUACUCGAGAACUUAAAAUUAUUCGACCAUUCCUUUUACACAGUGGGAUUUCUGAUACCCUACACAGAUGAAGACGAUUUGUAUGGCCAACUCUUUGUGAAAGGUGCCGAAAACCAUUAUAGAAGAGCGGUUAUUGCUAUUUCUAAGAAAGAAAUUUUACUUAGAAAUACAAAAGAAAAACAGAAAGAAUUAGAAACCAAUAGUCGUGCAAUGGCUAUAGAGAUACAACGCAGAAUAUACGAACGAUUAUGUGAGGUUCAAGAAAUAUUAGAGAUAUCAAGACGCCACCAAGAAGAAGUACAUAAUCAUAUGCAAUCUUAUUGUCCAGAGGGCAGUGCCCCUGCUGAUGGCGAUUCAAAAAGUAAAAGUGGCAAGAAGAGCAAGGUAGAUAAAGCAAGUGGUAAGGCCAGUAAAAGUGGGAAAAAUGAAAAAGGCAAAAUCAAUAAGGAUGCUCCUAAAACUACCGAGACAACUCAAAGAGCAACGAGUAAGCUUGAGAAGCGCGGUCAAGUCUCAAUAGAAA